CUGAAGAAUGCUUCCAAUGUCAGAAGGCUGUAUACUAUACACUCUGUGAAAUGGCCUAUUCCACUCUUAAACAAUUCCAUGUGUAAGAAACUAUUCUCUUUUUAGUGAGCCAGAGUCCUGAUUCCAUUUUAUCUGUUGAUUCCCCUUCUACCUAUGGAUAAAUUUACACUUUAUGACUGCUUUUUAUUAUCCGAAGAUAGGUCUCCCCAGGUCUGUUAACUUAGAAGAAAACAGAAUAGUAUAUUAAGCAAUAAAAAAAGAAAUAGACUCAAAAUAAUAAAAGUAAUGUAAACUAUUGCAUUGGCCAAAAGGAUCACUUUUUAAUACAUGCAUUUUAAGUCCUUACUCCAAAAAGUGAAUGUUUGCUUUGCAUUUGAUCUUUCUAGCCAGCAUUUUCCUGUGUGUGUUAGAGCAUGAACCUCAAAGCUUCCAUAGAAUAUUUGUUUGGCCAGUAACUUAUUUGAAAUCGUAACUCAUAGAGUCUGUAUAUUAACUAUUUAGUAACUCUGUCAAAAAAGAUACGCAGUUUAGUAUUACAUGAUUUGCUUUGUCUGUGCUAGUUCAUAGUAGUUAUCUUUUUUAAAUUAACUUCUUUUGGGGUAGAGUUUAGUUGCUUUACAAUGUUGUGUUAGUUCCUACUGUAUAGCAAAGUGGAGCAGCUGUACAUACACAUGAUUGUAGUUGUUAGUCCCUUAGUCUUGCCAGACUCUUCGUGCCCCGUGGACUGUAGCCCGCCAGGCGCCUCUGUACGUGAAAUUUCCCAGGCAAGAAUACUGGAGUAAGUUGCCCUUUCCUACCUCUCCUCUUUUCUGGAUUUCUUCCCAGAGGGAGUAGAGCUCCCUCUGCUAUACAGGAGGUUCUUAUUUGUUGUCAAGUUUUAUAAAAUUGUAAUAAGUGAUCAUGUAUUUUUUAAUUGCUUUUUUUGUAAUAAUUUUCUUGGGGAAUGAUACCACUUUUGCCAGUCCUUAACAUCAUUUGUUGAAAUCUGGGAGAUCUCUUAUCAAUACCUAAACUUUUGAAAACUUUUAUCUUCUCAGUUUUAUAAAACUUUUCAUUUCUGGUUUAUUUACAGUUUCACGUUCAUGAAAACCUGAACAGUUGAACUAAUUUUAAGUUGGCUAGGUGCUUCCAUGGGGUCGCUGAGAGUCGGACACAACUGAGCGACUUCACUGUCACUUUUCACUUUCAUGCAUUGGAGAAGGAAAUGGCACCCCACUCCAGUGCUCUUGCCUGGAGAACCCCAGGUACGGGGGAGCCUGUUGGGCUGCCAUCUCUGGGGUCGCACAGAGUCGGACACGACUAAUGCGACUUAGCAGCAGCAGCAGCAUUAUUAGAAAAAGGAUGAGUUAGAUGUAAGAGUGGUACUGUGACAAGACCUCACAGCACAUUUUUGUCAAUUGCUUUGCACAGCUCUAGUAUUUAGGAGACCUCAGUUUUGAAAACCCAGGAGUUUGUUUUUGUAGGCUUACAUAAAGUAAAGCAAAUACUCAGGGCAUAUGUGUUAAUGAAGUUUAUGGAGACUGAAUAUGUGAAUGUCGGUUACUGUGAGAGUUGAGUUCUGCUCCUGUCAGCAUGAAUAGUGUAUUCUCUUCAGGUUAAUCUGCAUGGACUAGUCCAGUUGUGAUUAGAAGGCAGUUGGUUAAGCAGGGCUUCAGAUUAAGGUGAGUUUGGUUGGAGAGAUGGUCUGCUAGGAAGGUACCUGUCAUAGACAAGGAAACGGUCAAAUCUGUAGGCCUGGGCAAAAUGUUUUCUCUGUUACUGAGAUUGGCACGAUGGGCACUACUGCUUGCCUCCAAGGUUAGGUUCUCAACUUUCCCAAUUGUUAAAACACUUUCUUAUUAAGUUCAAAAAAGAUGAGUAAUAGUGCUUUGGAUGUAGGUGGAUG
ensembl:lncRNA